UACAGAGGGUGCGAGCGUUGUCCGGAAUCACUGGGCGUAAAAGGGCGCGUAGGCGGCUUGAUAAGGUUGCGGUGAAAAGCCCCGGGGGCUCAACCCCCGGGUCGGCCGUGGCAACUGUCGAGCUGGAGCACUGUAGAGGCAGGUGGAAUUCCGGGGUGUAGCGGUGGAAUGCGUAGAGAUCCGGAAAGAACACCGGUGGCGAAGGCGGCCUGCUGGGCAGUGGCUGACGCUGAGGCGCGACAGCGUGGGGGAGCAAACAGG
rnacentral:rRNA from 1 species